AUGAAUACAAGUUCCUGUCUUUCUCCAAUGACAGGGUCUUAUGUAUAAUUUAGAGGUAAGAGAACAGGGUCGGAAAAGGUACCUCACUUCAUAUUGGAAAUCCAAAUCCGGGGUAGUGUAAUUGUUGAUGAUAAGUCUCAGGUAAUUUUUGCAUGUCAUCCCAUUGUUGUACAACAUCAUAAACGACAUGCUCACUAGGAUCUGCUUGUGAUUCACGUAGCAAUUCCAUAUGCUGAAGAGAAUUAUCUGGCUGAUACAACAUUGGAUACCGUUCAAGAUGUUCAUAUUUCUUUUCCAUGGCAGGUGCGGUUUUCAUGGAAGACUCGUGAUGAAUUUUAGACCAAGGGUAAAAAUAUAUUGCAGGAGGGUAAUAAUGACCAUGUUUUUCUUCUCUUAUAUUCUUGAAAUGAC
rnacentral:lncRNA from 1 species